AACCAGGACUAAACCAGGACUAAACCAGGUCUAAACCAGGUCUAAACCAGGUCUAAACCAGGUCUAAACCAGGUCUAAACCAGGACUAAACCAGGACUAAACCAGGUCUAAACCAGGACUAAAACAGGACUAAACCAGGACUAAAACAGGACUAAACCAGGACUAAACCAGGACUAAACCAGGUCUAAAACAGGACUAAACCAGGACUAAACCAGGUCUAAAACAGGACUAAACCAGGACUAAACCAGGACUAAAACAGGACUAAACCAGGACUAAACCAGGUCUAAAACAGGACUAAUCCAGGACUAAACCAGGUCUAAACCAGGACUAAACCAGGACUAAACCAGGUCUAAAACAGGACUAAACCAGGACUAAACCAGGUCUAAAACAGGACUAAACCAGGUCUAAACCAGGUCUAAACCAGGACUAAACCAGGACUAAACCAGGACUAAACCAGGACUAAACCAGGACUAAACCAGGGACUAAACCAGGACUAAACCAG
ensembl:lncRNA